GUUUGAUCCUGGCUCAGAACGAACGCUGGCGGCAGGCCUAACACAUGCAAGUCGAGCGCACUCUUCGGAGUGAGCGGCGGACGGGUUAGUAACGCGUGGGAACAUACCCUUUUCUAUGGAAUAGCCUCGGGAAACUGAGAGUAAUACCAUAUACGCCCUUCGGGGGAAAGAUUUAUCGGUGAAGGAUUGGCCCGCGUUUGAUUAGAUAGUUGGUGGGGUAAUGGCCUACCAAGUCUACGAUCAAUAGCUGGUUUGAGAGGAUGAUCAGCAACACUGGGACUGAGACACGGCCCAGACUCCUACGGGAGGCAGCAGUGGGGAAUCUUAGACAACGGGCGCAAGCCUGAUCUAGCCAUGCCGCGUGAGUGACGAAGGCCUUAGGGUCGUAAAGCUCUUUCGCCAGAGAUGAUAAUGACAGUAUCUGGUAAAGAAACCCCGGCUAACUCCGUGCCAGCAGCCGCGGUAAUAAGG
rnacentral:rRNA from 1 species